rnacentral:tRNA from 1 species
GCCGAAGUGGUGGAAUUGGCAGACACGCGGGACUCAAAAUCCCGUCCUGGCAACAGGGUGUGGGUUCGACUCCCACCUUCGGCACCA